UCUGUUGUUAGCCUGCGACAACUUUCAAGGGUGCUUAUGAAAGUUUAGGUCUGGAUGCAUCUGGUGGAAAAUCCGUUCAUUUUCAGAAGAUUUGGCACCUUAUUCAGGCAUUAACUGGUGAAGACUCGUCUGUUCCAAAAAGCGUGUCAAAAAAGAUGUCUUUAAUUAUUGGUGCAAGGCGCCAUCUUGAGCGGGGUCAUGAAAAAUAUGUAAUGGAUACUAUCCAAAGUCAUCCUGCCCAGGCUGCACUUGGUGGGGUUGUUGGAAACAUGCAAAGAAUUCGUG